CAAGGUUUCCGUAGGUGAACCUGCGGAAGGAUCAUUACCGAGUUCUCGGGCUUCGGCUCGAAUCUCCCACCCUUUGUGAACGUACCUCUGUUGCUUUGGCGGCUCUUUGCCGCGAGGAGGCCCUCGCGGGCCCCCCCGCGCGCUUUCCGCCAGAGGACCUUCAAACUCCAGUCAGUAAACGUCGACGUCUGAUAAACAAGUUAAUAAACUAAAACUUUCAACAACGGAUCUCUUGGUUCUGGCAUCGAUGAAGAACGCAGCGAAAUGCGAUAAGUAAUGUGAAUUGCAGAAUUCAGUGAAUCAUCGAAUCUUUGAACGCACAUUGCGCCCCCUGGCAUUCCGGGGGGCAUGCCUGUUCGAGCGUCAUUACAACCCUCAAGCUCUGCUUGGUAUUGGGCGCCGUCCUCUCUGCGGACGCGCCUUAAAGACCUCGGCGGUGGCUGUUCAGCCCUCAAGCGUAGUAGAAUACACCUCGCUUUGGAGCGGUUGGCGUCGCCCGCCGGACGAACCUUCUGAACUUUUCUCAAGGUUGACCUCGGAUCAGGUAGGGAUACCCGCUGAACUUAAGCAU
rnacentral:rRNA from 1 species